rnacentral:rRNA from 1 species
UGGGGAAUAUUGGACAAUGGGGGAAACCCUGAUCCAGCCAUGCCGCGUGCGUGAAGAAGGCCUCAGGGUUGUAAAGCGCUUUCGGCGGGGAAGAUGAUGACGGUACCCGCAGAAGAAGCCCCGGCUAACUCCGUGCCAGCAGCCGCGGUGAUACGGAGGGGGCAAGCGUUGUUCGGAAUUACUGGGCGUAAAGGGCGCGUAGGCGGGCGAUCAAGUCAGGGGUGAAAGGCCUGGGCUUAACCUGGGAACUGCCUUUGAAACUGAUUGUCUUGAGUCCGGAAGAGGAUGGCGGAAUUCCCAGUGUAGAGGUGAAAUUCGUAGAUAUUGGGAAGAACACCAGUGGCGAAGGCGGCCAUCUGGUCCGGUACUGACGCUGAGGCGCGAAAGCGUGGGGAGCAAACAGGAUUAGAUACCCUGGUAGUCCACGCCGUAAACGAUGUGUGCUAGCCGUUGGGGAACCUAGUUUCUCGGUGGCGCAGCUAACGCGUUAAGCACACCGCCUGGGGAGUACGGUCGCAAGAUUA